UAUAAAUAGCCGCAGAACUCUGUGCUAAGGUAGCAUAAUCAUUAGCUUUAUAAUUGAAAGAUAGAAUGAAUGGUUAAACGAAAUAUUAACUGUUUCUUUUAUUCUAAAAUUAAACUAAAACUAUAGUAAAAAUUCUAUUACAAUAAAGAAAGACGAUAAGACCCUACAAACUUAAUUAUAAUUAGCUGGGGCGGCAAUUUAAAAAUACCUUAUAUAAUAAAAUAACACCACAACAGCACUAGACUAAAUCGAAUAAGUUACUUUAGGGAUAACAGCGCUACUUUUUUCAAAAGCUCUAAUAUAAAAAUAAAACUACGACCUCGAUGUUGAAUUAUAUUCCUUUUUAUAUGCAAACAUUUAAAAAGAUAGUCUGUUCGACUAUUAAACAUAU
rnacentral:rRNA from 1 species